UACGGGGGGAGCAAGCGUUGUUCGGAUUUACUGGGCGUAAAGGGCGCGUAGGCGGAUAGAUAAGUUAGAUGUGAAAUCCCUGAGCUUAACUUAGGAACUGCAUUUAAAACUGUUUAUCUAGAGUAUUGUAGAGGAAGGUAGAAUUCCAUGUGUAGCGGUGAAAUGCGUAGAGAUGUGGAGGAAUACCGGUGGCGAAGGCGGCCUUCUGGACAGAUACUGACGCUGAGGUGCGAAAGCGUGGGGAGCAAACAGG
rnacentral:rRNA from 1 species